UGGAGUGGUGGACCACAGGCCACUGGAGUUGCCCAGGAUUGACUGCAGUAAAGACAGAGCAAGCUGUCCAUGAAACCUGAGGUAACACAUGCAGUGUCCAGCCAUGACACAGGAGCAAACUUGAAGGAUGUGGGAUCAGAACACACUUUUGUAAGAGCUGCAAGGUGCUCUUCUAAGAAAUAUUUUUAUGGGAAGUAGUGUACAUGGAUUCAUCAUUUGCAAGUAAGGAAACUAAUAACUCUUUAUCCAACAGCCAAAGAGUUUGUCAACUUAAAUUCACCAAGAUGAAUAUAUGUAAAUUCCCUCUUCUUUUAUUCUUCAGUUAAUUUCUUUUCAUCCCCAGUUCCUCUGAAUUAAAUUAGAUGGCACAUACAGAACAGGUUGGUAACAGUAAUAAAUCAUUGUAUUUGGAUGGACUGAAUACUUACUGCAGUUGUGUGAGUUGGGGAACUUGAGCUUGUUGGCCAGGAGGGUACAGAAUCUGUAGCUGAAGGAUCCCAGAUGGAUGAUGGAACAUUACUGAAUUCAUUCCAGUUUCUUUGAACAUCCUGCCCAUAAGCAGAUCGAGCUAAACCGAGCUUGCUAAAAACCUCUAAAAAUAAAAUUAAAUAAAAAUGAGUA